rnacentral:rRNA from 1 species
UUAUGCUUGUCUCAAGAUUAAGCCAUGCCAGUCUCAGUACAAGCCGAAUUAAGGUGAAACCGCAAAAAGCUCAUUAAAUCAGUUAUGGUUCCUUGGAUCGUACUUUCCAUUACUUGGAUAACUGUGGUAAUUCUAGAGCUAAUACAUGCAAACAGAGUCCCGACCAGAAAUGGAAGGGACGCUUUUAUUAGACCAAAACCAAUCGACGUCCGUCCGAUACGUCGGACGGCGCCGUACUCUUUGGUGACUCUGAAUAACUUUGUGCUGAUCGCACGGUCUCUGCACCGGCGACGCAUCCUUCAAAUGUCUGCCUUAUCAACUGUCGAUGGUAGGUUCUGCGCCUACCAUGGUUGUAACGGGUAACGGAGAAUCAGGGUUCGAUUCCGGAGAGGGAGCCUGAGAAACGGCUACCACAUCCAAGGAAGGCAGCAGGCGCGCAAAUUACCCACUCCCGGCACGGGGAGGUAGUGACGAAAAAUAACGAUACGGGACUCAUCCGAGGCCCCGUAAUCGGAAUGAGUAUACUCUAAAUCCUUAUACGAGUAUCGAUUGGAGGGCAAGUCUGGUGCCAGCAGCCGCGGUAAUUCCAGCUCCAAUAGCGUAUAUUAAAGUUGUUGCGGUUAAAAAGCUCGUAGUUGGAUCUGUGUCCCGCGCCGCUGGUUCGCCGCCUGUCGGUGUUAAACUGGCGUGUACGCGGGACGUCCUGUCGGUGGUGGUUCGCGCAUUGUCGGCCGUAAGGCGCGUCCGCAGCAUCCGCUUGCGGCGCCCCCAAAGCCGGCGUGCGAUCACGGCCACCUCAUCAAUCCCGCCGCGGUGCUCUUCACCGGGUGUCGUGGCGGGCCGCCACGUUUACUUUGAACAAAUUAGAGUGCUUCAAGCAGGCAUACUUACGCCUGCAUACUGUGUGCAUGGAAUAAUGGAAAAGGACCUCGGUUCUAUUUUGUUGGUUUUCGGAACCUGAGGUAAUGAUCAAUGGAGACGGGCGGGGGCAUUCGUAUUGCGACGUUAGAGGUGAAAUUCUUGGAUCGUCGCAAGACGGACCGAAGCGAACGCAUUUGCCAAGUACGUUCUCGUCGAUCAAGAACGAAAGUUAGAGGUUCGAAGGCGAUCAGAUACCGCCCUAGUUCUAACCAUAAACUAUGCCUGCCAGCGAUCCGCCGGCGUUCCUCCGAUGACCCGGCGGGCAGCUUCCGGGAAACCAGAGCCUUUGGGUUCCGGGGGAAGUAUGGUUGCAAAGCUGAAACUUAAAGGAAUUGACGGAAGGGCACCACCAGGAGUGGAGCCUGCGGCUUAAUUUGACUCAACACGGGAAAACUCACCAGGCCCGGACACCGGAAGGAUUGACAGAUUGAGAGCUCUUUCUUGAUUCGGUGGGUGGUGGUGCAUGGCCGUUCUUAGUUGGUGGAGCGAUUUGUCUGGUUAAUUCCGAUAACGAACGAGACUCUAGCCUACUAACUAGACGCAUCCGGUAUCCUUGAAUUGUGCUACCGGCGAUCAAAUCUCUUCUUAGAGGGACAGGCGGCUUCUAGCCGCACGAGACUGAGCAAUAACAGGUCUGUGAUGCCCUUAGAUGUCCUGGGCCGCACGCGCGCUACACUGAACGAGACAGCGUGUCUUCCCUGUCCGAAAGGACCGGGUAACCCGCUGAACCUCAUUCGUGCUAGGGAUUGGGGCUUGCAAUUGUUCCCCAUGAACGAGGAAUUCCCAGUAAGCGCGAGUCAUAAGCUCGCGUUGAUUACGUCCCUGCCCUUUGUACACACCGCCCGUCGCUACUACCGAUUGAAUGAUUUAGUGAGGUCUUCAGACCGGGGCGCGAAGACGACGCAAGUCGCCUCCGAUGUUGUCGGAAAGAUGACCAAACUUGAUCAUUUAGAGGAAGUAAAAGUCGUAACAAGGUUUCCGUAG